rnacentral:rRNA from 1 species
UGGCGAACGGGUGAGUAACACGUGGGUGAUCUGCCCUGCACUUCGGGAUAAGCCUGGGAAACUGGGUCUAAUACCGGAUAGGAGCCAUUUUUAGUGUGAUGGUUGGAAAGUUUUUUGGUGUAGGAUGAGCUCGCGGCCUAUCAGCUUGUUGGUGGGGUAAUGGCCUACCAAGGCGGCGACGGGUAGCCGGCCUGAGAGGGUGGACGGCCACAUUGGGACUGAGAUACGGCCCAG